rnacentral:rRNA from 1 species
UACCAGACUCCUACGGGAGGCAGCAGUGGGGAAUAUUGCACAAUGGGGGAAACCCUGAUGCAGCGACGCCGCGUGAGUGAAGAAGUAUUUCGGUAUGUAAAGCUCUCUCAGCAGGGAAGAAAAUGACGGUACCUGACUAAGAAGCCCCGGCUAACUACGUGCCAGCAGCCGCGGUAAUACGUAGGGGGCAAGCGUUAUCCGGAUUUACUGGGUGUAAAGGGAGCGUAGACGGCAUGGCAAGUCAGAUGUGAAAGCCCGGGGCUCAACCCCGGGACUGCAUUUGAAACUGUCAGGCUGGAGUGCAGGAGAGGUAAGUGGAAUUCCUAGUGUAGCGGUGAAAUGCGUAGAUAUUAGGAGGAACACCAGUGGCGAAGGCGGCCUGCUGGACGACAACUGACGGUGAGGCGCGAAAGCGUGGGUAUCGAACAGGAUUAGAUACCCCGGUAAAG